ensembl:lncRNA
CACGUGUCUGUCUGAAUGCCACGAAGCGGCGAGCAGACGUAAACCUCACGCCUUUAUUUUGAAGGAGGACGAGACAAUAAGAUGUCGGGUUCACAGGUGAGUCUGGCAGCAGGACACCUGCUACGCCUUCUUCAAAAGCAGUGGUGCUGAAGCUCGGGUGGGACCGGGGUCUGUCACGUUACAGUGGGAUCCCAACUCGUCUCCCUCUUCCCUCCAUCUGUCACGCCCCAAUCCUCACCCCCCACCUCUACACCCAAUCUUUUGUCUGUUUUGGGGGUUUGGUAACUCACUUUGGUGAUUUUUGGGGGGUAUUUUUGGAGGAGGCGGGGGGCUAAACAUAUCUGCGAGGACGUAAGCGUGUUGGAUGCUUUGAGAGCGUUUCUGGAAUUCCCUCAAAGGCACAUUUCAAAAUGGCAGCCAUUGCAUGAACUCAGGGAGGAGUCUGGAUGUGGACAUCGAAGAUUUAAAGACUGGCAACCUUCAGCUCUGAGGUCUGGACGACAUCUGGGCAGAAUAUUUGGACAUCUCAUGCUGAUAGAGGAGAUCUCUAAUCAGAAAGGCAGAGACACCAGGAGACGCCGGUCUCGCUGGAUUCAGCGUGGAGACAAAGAGGCAACGGGCUGGCUGCGCCUCACCUCGGCCUUUAGGAGCCCUGCAUGCAGCUCUCAGGGGACGUGAUGGGAACUGGUACCGGCAGUAAACAUUGUUGUUCUUGUGCUUUUUUUGGCAGACAUGCUUUCUAAGAAAUGGAUAAUGUAAUUGAAAGGCUGGAUUUGAGCUAGAACCAUGAUCUAAUCUGAGAAACCUAACCAAAGCCAACCUGCAACUACAAACCAGUGGAUGUUUCCUAAACAGCAGCAGUGUGGACACAGCGUGCUGGAAGUAGGUGCUGUUACUAGCAAACUACACACAAGUAUAGCAGUGACCAACUCUAAAGUCCUUUAGACACUGGACACAUGUCAUCAUCAGCAUGCUUCUUAGUUCAGGGAUAUAAUCAGCUGUUCAUGAGCACAUGGACGGCUGAUCAGUACCAAGACUGUGCUCUUACAUAUGGAAAGCUGAACUCAUCUACCCAACUAACCGAAUAUUCAGCUGCUUUGUGCUAAUGCUGCUCCUCCAGAUGCCAAAGUUAGCUCCACUUUGCUGCCUACUUGCACAGAAGAGGUCUGAAGUGACGCUUUUAAUAUUUAAAUAGCUGUACCUGCAGCUCUGACACACCACACAUUACAUAAUGUGCAUAACCUUCUGUGGAUUUACGAUCACAGAUGUCCCAUGUUGUACGUGUCACCACUGAGUGCUGAUGAAUGUGAAUCCUCUCAUGCAAAGAUGGUUUUAAAAGUCUGAGUUAGUUAAAUGAAGUAAUGGCCAAACCCACAGCAUAUGUGACCCACAGAGGAUAGUAACCACUCAGGUAACUGAGCUUUGAGCAGGUCUAUUUCCUGGUACUUUACACUAUAGCUGUCAAUAAACAUCUGCAUUUCACAUAAAACUGUACUUGACAUUAUUACUACAAUUGAAUUUUGCUUUUUUAUUUUAUGUAUUUUUAGACACAGCUUAAUGGGAGUAUGUAUAUGUAUUUUACAUUAUGUGAGUUUUUAUUGUCUUUGAUUCAUUUUCUAUAUGUAUUUCUUUUUUAUUUGUUUAUUUUCUAUGUACUGUAUUUUCCGCGCUAUAAGGUGAACUUGAAAGCCUUUAAUUCUCUCACAAAUCGACAGUGUACCUUAUACAUAUGAGCUUGUGUACCUUAUAAUCCGGUGCUCCGUAUGUAUGAAUUCUGGUUGUGCUCACUGAGCUGAUUUUAUGUGCUACACGGCGCUCAGAAAUCUGUCCAAAACUAUUUUGGUACGACUUUGCUAAGCUAGGAAGCCCCACCGCAUGCUGGAUAGUCGGAGCAUUACGGCUGCUGUAGUCAGGAGUCUGGGUCCUAAACUCCGUCUGCUUCAGGUCCUAAAGUCAAACGAACGCUGCAGCAUCACUGAGAGUUACAAACUGUCUAAAGUCUUCCAUCUGUAAUAAAAUGAUCAGCGUUGCUGCUUUACCAGGUGUAACAAUGAAGUUUAACAUCCAGGCAUCCAUGAAAACAGAUUUAUUAAAUUCAACGGAGGUAGAAGUUAGCAGGAAGUUAGCUCGCUAGCUCAACAUUAAUGAAUCGAUGGUACGGAAGUGGAGGAAGCAAGAAGAAUGAGUUGAGCAGUGUUUGACUUAUCUGACUGUUUGGUUUCACUUCAUGCGCCUUUUAAUCCAGGGUGCCUUAUGUAUGAACAGACCCGUUCAUCGACAGCGCGCCUUAUGGUCCGGAAAAUACAGUACGUCCUCUUACGUCAUCUCCAGCCUCCUCUUGUACCACACCAAUCCAUGAGCAUGGACCUCCUCCCAGGCAGCUCCGUGUCUUUGUUA